rnacentral:sRNA from 1 species
UUAAUUACAAGCUAUAAAGAGAAUGAAAAAUGGCUACUGGUACUCAAACGGUACUGGAAGUAAAAAAGAAUAAAUUGAAUAAUUCUUCCAAGUGGUUUGCAUUUGGACAAAAAAUUUAGACCGUAGCUUCAAGCUGC